rnacentral:rRNA from 1 species
UACGGGGGGGAGCAAGCGUUGUUCGGAUUUACUGGGCGUAAAGGGCGCGUAGGCGGUCAGCACAAGUCAGUUGUGAAAUCUCCGGGCUUAACUCGGAAAGGUCAACUGAUACUGUGCGACUAGAGUGCAGAAGGGGCAACUGGAAUUCUCGGUGUAGCGGUGAAAUGCGUAGAUAUCGUAAGGAAGACCAGUGGCGAAGGCGGGUCUCUGGACAGUUCCUGACGCUGAGGCACGAAGGUCAGGGGAGCAAACGGG